rnacentral:lncRNA from 1 species
UUGAAAAUGAAAUAUUAUAUACUUAUUCCUCCUGUCUUUUGAGGUGGUAUGCGCAAUUACAUGCUAUGAGCCAUAUUUAGCCUAUACAUAUACUCUAUGGCUUAUAGCAUAUUCGGAUGGGUGUUCUAUACAAGAUUAAAAUACUCAAGAGUACGCAUGAAGGGUGGAGGAAGGAGCCUAUGGAGUUAUUAUUUAGUUAAUUUGGAUAAUAUGUAUGGUGGGACAAAAUGGUAUAACCUCUUAUGUUUGGGAGUUUGGAAGGGAUCAAUAAAGCAUUAAUAAGAAUGCAACUGGGCAGAUCUCAUGGCGGGAAGAAUGAUGAAGAUUGGUGGGAGAUUAUGGAGAGCUACUCUUUAGGGUAGGCAUCAUGAGGCUGUGGAAUUUAAAAGCACAAGGGGACAUUUCUACGAAAAUGCUUGAAUGCAUGUUUUUUGCUGAAUGCUGUUUCCUAUUUGUCUUUUAAUAUUUUUCACUCAAAAUGCAGCAAUCAUACAGAUUUGCAAUGGGGAAGGACAACUCUACUUGAGGUUCAUAGGAGGGAAGUUAAGGCCCUGUUUAUAUAAGUCGAAGCCUUGAUUUUUUUUCGUUCUUCUAACCUAUAUGGGCCUUGUUUCCUAAGAGUUGGUUGUGCUAACCUAUGAGAGUUGUUUCCUGAGGGUUCUUCUAAGUUCUAACCGAUAUUGGCUCCUGUAGGAUUUUCCCGGGAGUCAAAUAGGCCUACGAAGCUUUUAGAAGGUAGAGAAAGUGAAAUAGAGAAAGAGGGAGAGAAAUGGUGAAGUGAAGAAGUGGAAGAGAUGGGGAUUUGGAAGGAUAUAAGGAGAGAUAUAGGGGGAUGGACAGGGAAGUUCAAGAGAAGGAUUGGUGACACUGAGAGGUAGAGAGAGAGGCACAAAGGGGGAAAGAAGGAGAUGGAGAAGUGUCAAGGUCGAUUGUUUCAGACUGACUUUCAGCUCUAGCCUAUUGAUGAUUCAAGUUUAGUAAACUUGUUUAUUACUAGUUCAUUUGUCUUUAUUGAUUGCACUUCUAUAUCUUAUUCUAGUGCAUUCUCUCUUGUUAACGUGAUAUUGCGCCUCCAUGUGCAUACUUCUAGCAUAAGGUACCGGAUGUUCUUUGAGUCUUAUGGUCGACUGGUUGGCACAAUGCGAUGGCAUUGAUUAUUUUAAUUUUUGAUGUAAAUUCUCUUACUUGCAUUAACCAGGUGCUCUCUUGUACUGUCUUAUUGAUAUGUGCCUUGCCUCCAUAGAUAAUGAUGCUGUGUGUCACUAGGUUGUCUCUAGGUGCACAAGAAAUGAUCCCAAACCCUAUAUUGAGUUUGUUGUAAUUAAUCAGCAUGUGCUGUGAUUUUCAACAUAUGAUAGAGUAGAGUGAAUAGGUGGGCACCCACAGAAUAGUCCAAAUACAAUCGGUUUUGAUUGGAUGAUAGGAGACUAGAGUUGAUGAUCCGAACCGUUGAAUAUAAUCUGUCU